rnacentral:rRNA from 1 species
ACUCCUACGGGAGGCAGCAGUGAGGGAUAUUGGUCAAUGGGGGAAACCCUGAACCAGCGACGCCGCGUGGGUGAAGAAGGCCUUCGGGUCGUAAAGCCCUUUUCCCGCUGACGAGGAAGGACGGUAGGCGGGGAAGAAGUCUCGGCUAACUACGUGCCAGCAGCCGCGGUAAAACGUAGGAGGCAAGCGUUAUUCGGAGUUACUGGGCGUAAAGCGCGCGCAGGCGGCGAAGCAAGUGAGGUGUGAAAUAUCCCGGCUAAACCGGGAGGGGACAUUUCAGACUGCUUGGCUAGAGUGGAGUAGAGGAGCGCGGAAUUCCCG